GCGAUUUUUGGAGGAGCAAGUGAUAGCAAAUAAAGUGACAAAAGAUCACGACGAGGGUGGUCCAAGUUUAGGAUAAGAGACUUAAGUAAGAUCAGAUGCUAUCAGUGCGAUGAGUUAGGGCAUCUAGUCAAAGAUUGUCCACAACAAAAAGAUCGAAUGAGGGCUACUGUAGCGAUGGCCAGUAGCGUAUCAGAGGAUGAUGU
rnacentral:lncRNA from 1 species